rnacentral:rRNA from 1 species
AAGCGGUUUCGAUGAAGUUUUCGGAUGGAUUUGAAAUUGACUUAGCGGCGGACGGGUGAGUAACGCGUGGGUAACCUGCCUUACACUGGGGGAUAACAGUUAGAAAUGACUGCUAAUACCGCAUAAGCGCACAGGGCCGCAUGGUCCGGUGUGAAAAACUCCGGUGGUGUAAGAUGGACCCGCGUCUGAUUAGGUAGUUGGUGGGGUAACGGCUUACCAAGGCGACGAUCAGUAGCCGACCUGAGAGGGUGAUCGGCCACAUUGGAACUGAGACACGGUCCAAACUCC